CCUACGUGAGGCAGCAGUGGGGAAUAUUGCACAAUGGGGGAAACCCUGAUGCAGCGACGCCGCGUGAGUGAAGAAGUAUUUCGGUAUGUAACGCUCUAUCAGCAGGGAAGAAGAAAGACGGUACCUGACUAAGAAGCCCCGGCUAACUACGUGCCAGCAGCCGCGGUAAUACGUAGGGGGCAAGCGUUAUCCGGAUUUACUGGGUGUAAAGGGAGCGUAGACGGCUGUGCAAGUCUGAAGUGAAAGGCCAGGGCUCAACCCUGGGACUGCUUUGGAAACUGUGGAGCUAGAGUGCUGGAGAGGGAAGUGGAAUUCCUAGUGUAGCGGUGAAAUGCGUAGAUAUUAGGAGGAACACCAGUGGCGAAGGCGGCUUACUGGACAGUAACUGACGUUGAGGCUCGAAAGCGUGGGAAGCAAACAGGAUUAGAUACCCCUGUAGUC
rnacentral:rRNA from 1 species